AUAGGCUAAUUAAGGGCGUAUGGGGAAUGCCUAGGCUCUCAGAGGCGAUGAAGGACGUGAUAAGCUGCGAAAAGUUACGGGGAAUGGCACACACAUUUUGAUCCGUAAAUAUCCGAAUAGGGCAACCUGGUUAUUUGAAGAAUAAUCAUCCAUCUUGUAUGGAAGCAAACCCGGAGAACUGAAACAUCUAAGUACCCGGAGGAAGAGAAAACAAUAGUGAUUCCGCUAGUAGUGGCGAGCGAACGCGGAAUAGCCCAAACCUAUGUUGUUACGGCAAUGUAGGGGUUGUAGGACUACAAUAUUUGUUGCUUAAUGAAUUAGAAUCUGUUGGAAAUCAGAACCAUAGAGGGUGAUAGUCCCGUAUAAGUAAAGACAGUUAACGAUAGUAGUAUCCUGAGUAGUACGGGGCACGGGAAACCUUGUAUGAAUCCGGCGGGACCAUCCGCCAAGGCUAAAUACUCCUGAGAGACCGAUAGUGAACUAGUACCGUGAGGGAAAGGUGAAAAGAACCCUGAAUAAGGGAGUGAAAUAGAUCCUGAAACCAUACGCUUACAAGCGGUCGGAGCCCAUUAGGGUGACGGCGUGCCUUUUGCAUAAUGAGCCUACGAGUUAACGUUGCUAGCAAGGUUAAGUACUUAAGGUACGAAGCCGUAGCGAAAGCGAGUCUGAAUAGGGCGCUUUAGUUAGCAGUGUUAGACGCGAAACCGUGUGAUCUACCCAUGGGCAGGGUGAAGCUGUAGUAACAUACAGUGGAGGCCCGAACCCGUUGACGUUGAAAAGUCUUGGGAUGACCUGUGGGUAGGGGUGAAAGGCCAAUCAAACUCGGAAAUAGCUCGUACUCCCCGAAAUGCAUUUAGGUGCAGCGUUGAGUAAAAGUUUUAUAGAGGUAGAGCUACUGAUUGGAUGCGGGGGCUUCACCGCCUACCAAUUCCUGACAAACUCCGAAUGCUAUAAAAUAUACACAGCAGUGAGGGCAUGGGUGCUAAGGUCCAUGUCCGAGAGGGAAAGAACCCAGACCAUCAGCUAAGGUCCCAAAGUGUAUGCUAAGUUGAAUAAACGAGGUUUGACUGCCCAGACAGCUAGGAUGUUGGCUUGGAAGCAGCCAUUCAUUUAAAGAGUGCGUAACAGCUCACUAGUCGAGCGGUCGAGCAUGGAUAAUAAUCGGGCAUAAGCAUAUCACCGAAGCUAUGGCAUCGAAAGAUGGGUAGGGGAGCAUUGUAGCGACGUUGAAGGUAAACUGUAAGGUUUGCUGGAGUUUCUACAAAAGAAAAUGUAGGCAUAAGUAACGAUAAUGCGGGCGAGAAACCCGCACACCGAAAGACUAAGGUUUCCUCAGCUAUGCUAAUCAGCUGAGGGUUAGUCGGGACCUAACGCGAACCCGAAAGGGGUAGUGGAUGGACAACAGGUUAAUAUUCCUGUACCUGCUCUCACUAAAAGUGACGGAUUGCCCAGAUAUCUACGUGGUGACGGAAGUCCACGUUGAGCAUAGCCUUCGGGCGAAGCGAUGAUAAGUAAGCAGUUCCAAGAAAAGCGAGAGAAGCAGCCCGUACCGUAAACCGACACAGGUAGUUGGGAUGAGUAUUCUAAGGUGCUCGAGAGAUUCAUGGCUAAGGAACUAGGCAAAAUCGACCCGUAACUUCGGGAGAAGGGUCGCCACGUUUCGACGUGGCCGCAGUGAAAAGAUCCAGGCGACUGUUUAUCAAAAACACAGGACUCUGCUAAAUCGAAAGAUGACGUAUAGGGUCUGACACCUGCCCGGUGCCGGAAGGUUAAGUGGAGUUGUUAGCUUCGGCGAAGCAAUCAAAUGAAGCCCCGGUAAACGGCGGCCGUAACUAUAACGGUCCUAAGGUAGCGAAAUUCCUUGUCGGGUAAGUUCCGACCUGCACGAAUGGUGCAACGAUCUGGAUACUGUCUCGGCCAUGAGCUCGGUGAAAUUGUAGUAUCGGUGAAGAUGCCGAUUACCCGCUACGGGACGAAAAGACCCCGUGCACCUUUACUAUAGCUUCGUAUUGACCUUGGAUAAGUAAUGUGUAGGAUAGGUGGGAGACAUUGAAGCGGCGUCGCCAGGCGUUGUGGAGUCAUUGUUGAAAUACCACCCUUUGCUUAUCUAGGGCCUAAUCCCCAACGGGAGACAGUGCGUGGUGGGUAGUUUGACUGGGGUGGUCGCCUCCAAAAGAGUAACGGAGGCUUCUAA
rnacentral:rRNA from 1 species